CCGCGUCGUGGUGUAAUUUGGAAGAUAGAAUUCGACAUAGCGAAAUUGUAGUCGAUUAAGUGGCGGCAAAGUGCGUGAAUUGAGUGCGUUUAAGGUUCGUGGCAGCCGGGCAUUUGCCGUUACACCACCAUCCCACCAGAGACCGCUUUUGACCCCAUCGAUCGGCAUCGAAGGUCCCAGGGCACACGUGGCCGGAAGAGGGCCGCGUCUCGUUAAAUAUCGCGCCCUGGUCAGGCAAGCCCAAUCAGUUUUAUUCCCGCUCCGUACGACGGGGAAAACCGCCAACAAUCAACGACGACGAAUACGUUUUGUUGCGCCGUUCGUACGCAUGUGCCGCGUACUCGCGUAAGCCCACGCGCCGAGGGUGUGAGAGAGAAAAUCCGUAGGUGACGCUAACAACCGUGAGCGAAGUGGGCCGGAGUAAGCCAAGAAGCUCCGCGUGCCCGCCGCCAUCUCCUCACAUUCCAUCGAAGACCACGUAAAUCCUAGGUAGUGAGUACUUGCAUGCAUUUCUCUGUUUUGUGAUUGUCCAUGCGAAUGAGACGUUCUCAUCACAACCAACCAGUGUAUCCAUGAAUGGUCUCGGUACCUCCAAUCUCAUGUACCGAUAGACACCGAUCGAGUAUGACACACGCACGCACGCAGGCCAACAGUGGUAGAGGUCGCACACAUUAGAUAGGACAGUUUGUCGAGAUAGGGAAAGGGAAGAGAAGAUAUGACCUAGGCUAGCUACGAGAACGAAUGUAGGAAAAUAAACAGAUCGCAAUAAAUCUCUCUGGAUGUUUGUGUGAAAGCUUCAUGUGUUAAACUUAAUGACCGAAUAGGAAGAGAUUUGUACCGUUUGCUAUACUGCUGUUCGUCGUGAAGUUGUUUGGUAGCGCACCAGAUUAGAUUCGCAAUUACUGUUUAAAGAGGGUUCUCAUAUCGUUUCGGGUACGUUUCAGGUUGUCAUUCCUUGUUAUUUUUGGGGAGUAGUUAGCUCCGAUUCUGGCUAAGAUUACUUUCCAAUUGGAUGCGUUUCGUUCCGUUGAGGUGAGAGAAAUUGAGCCGAUGAUGAGAACAGUU